UUAUAUACCGUGGGAUAAUGCAAACUGUUCUCUGGUCAUUUAAAGAUGAUUUCUUAUCACCAAUGUCAAAGUGACCUCUCUAUUAUCUAUUGGACAUUUACUUAUACAACAUUUUGACCUUAUUUCGGACAAUAACCAUAUUAGGUAAUUUCUAAUUUUAUGCUGACAAAGAAAGUCACGUUGGCAUACCAUCAAUUAAAUGAUUGCUAUAUAAGUAGAAAUUCUGCUUUGAGACGUCAAAGUUUGAAUUUCGAAACUUAUAGGUGUCAGUCGAUCCCGGCCUGCCUCUACAUCGGCAACAACGCCCGGCCUGCCUUUACAUCGGCAGCAAUGCCACACACCAUCGAAGGCAUUGUACACAGCUAGUUCCCCCCGAACAUCUAAAGCCAAGUACCAGCUCUCACAGAAGUAGUUCUUCUGUUGAGAGUCUGCCGGGAAUCAACACAACAGCUAACUUCACAACAUAACAACAUUCUAUAUAUACCAUUUACAUGGAUUCCAACAACGUCCUUCCUUUUAUUGUGUUAUAAUAAAUGCAUGUUUUAUAUUGGUAACAUCAUUGACAUGGUUCUAUCAGAGGAUGACCUAAAUUUGUUAAAAUUGAAGGAACUCUUCAUUUUUCUGAAUAUAGUUGCUACCAUAUUAUAGAA